CUGAGAAAUGGCUACCACAUCUAAGGAAGGCAGCAGGCGCGUAAAUUACCCAAUCCUAAUUCAGGGAGGUAGUGACAAGAAAUAACAACUCGGACCUCACACGAGGUUGCGAGAUUGCAAUGAGAACAAUUUAAACCACUUAUCGAGUAACAAUUGGAGGGCAAGUCUGGUGCCAGCAGCCGCGGUAAUUCCAGCUCCAAUAGCGUAUAUUAAAGUUGUUGCAGUUAAGAAGCUCGUAGUUGAAUUUCUGGCCAGCUCUGUGCACGGCUCUCUGAGUCGGUUCAGAGCUUGGUCAUCCGUAUGGGAAGCUAGCUCGGCCUUCGCUGGUCGGCUAGUGGAUCAUACACUUUACUUUGAAAAAAUUAGAGUGUUUCAGGCAGGCAAUUGCUUGGAUACUUCAGCAUGGAAUAAUGGAAUAGGACUUUGACCUAUUUGUUGGUUUCUCGAGGUCAAAGUAAUGAUUAAUAGGGACAGUUGGGGGCAUUCGUAUUUAAUUGUCAGAGGUGAAAUUCUUGGAUUUAUUAAAGACGAACUUAUGCGAAAGCAUUUGCCAAGGAUGUUUUCA
rnacentral:rRNA from 1 species